rnacentral:rRNA from 1 species
CAGGGAACUGAAACAUCUAAGUACCUGGAGGAAGAGAAAGCAAAUGCGAUUUCCUGAGUAGCGGCGAGCGAAACGGAACAUAGCCCAAACCAAGAGGCUUGCCUCUUGGGGUUGUAGGACAUUCUAUACGGAGUUACAAAGGAACGAGGUAGACGAAGCGACCUGGAAAGGUCCGUCGUAGAGGGUAACAACCCCGUAGUCGAAACUUCGUUCUCUCUUGAAUGUAUCCUGAGUACGGCGGAACACGUGAAAUUCCGUCGGAAUCUGGGAGGACCAUCUCCCAAGGCUAAAUACUCCCUAGUGAUCGAUAGUGAACCAGUACCGUGAGGGAAAGGUGAAAAGCACCCCGGAAGGGGAGUGAAAGAGAUCCUGAAACCGUGUGCCUACAAAUAGUCAGAGCCCGUUAACGGGUGAUGGCGUGCCUUUUGUAGAAUGAACCGGCGAGUUACGAUCCCGUGCGAGGUUAAGCUGAAGAGGCGGAGCCGCAGCGAAAGCGAGUCUGAAUAGGGCGUUUAGUACGUGGUCGUAGACCCGAAACCAGGUGAUCUACCCAUGUCCAGGGUGAAGUUCAGGUAACACUGAAUGGAGGCCCGAACCCACGCACGUUGAAAAGUGCGGGGAUGAGGUGUGGGUAGCGGAGAAAUUCCAAUCGAACCUGGAGAUAGCUGGUUCUCCCCGAAAUAGCUUUAGGGCUAGCCUUAAGUGUAAGAGUCUUGGAGGUAGAGCACUGAUUGGACUAGGGGUCCUCAUCGGAUUACCGAAUUCAGUCAAACUCCGAAUGCCAAUGACUUAUCCUUAGGAGUCAGACUGCGAGUGAUAAGAUCCGUAGUCAAAAGGGAAACAGCCCAGACCGCCAGCUAAGGUCCCAAAGUGUGUAUUAAGUGGAAAAGGAUGUGGAGUUGCUUAGACAACUAGGAUGUUGGCUUAGAAGCAGCCACCAUUUAAAGAGUGCGUAAUAGCUCACUAGUCGAGUGACUCUGCGCCGAAAAUGUACCGGGGCUAAAUACACCACCGAAGCUGCGGAUUGAUACCAAUGGUAUCAGUGGUAGGGGAGCGUUCUAAGGACAGUGAAGUCAGACCGGAAGGACUGGUGGAGUGCUUAGAAGUGAGAAUGCCGGUAUGAGUAGCGAAAGACGGGUGAGAAUCCCGUCCACCGAAUGCCUAAGGUUUCCUGAGGAAGGCUCGUCCGCUCAGGGUUAGUCAGGACCUAAGCCGAGGCCGACAGGCGUAGGCGAUGGACAACAGGUUGAUAUUCCUGUACCACCUCUUUAUCGUUUGAGCAAUGGAGGGACGCAGAAGGAUAGAAGAAGCGUGCGAUUGGUUGUGCACGUCCAAGCAGUUAGGCUGAUAAGUAGGCAAAUCCGCUUAUCGUGAAGGCUGAGCUGUGAUGGGGAAGCUCCUUAUGGAGCGAAGUCUUUGAUUCCCCGCUGCCAAGAAAAGCUUCUAGCGAGAUAAAAGGUGCCUGUACCGCAAACCGACACAGGUAGGCGAGGAGAGAAUCCUAAGGUGUGCGAGAGAACUCUGGUUAAGGAACUCGGCAAAAUGACCCCGUAACUUCGGGAGAAGGGGUGCUUUCUUAACGGAAAGCCGCAGUGAAUAGGCCCAAGCGACUGUUUAGCAAAAACACAGCUCUCUGCGAAGCCGUAAGGCGAAGUAUAGGGGGUGACACCUGCCCGGUGCUGGAAGGUUAAGGAGAGGGGUUAGCGUAAGCGAAGCUCUGAACUGAAGCCCCAGUAAACGGCGGCCGUAACUAUAACGGUCCUAAGGUAGCGAAAUUCCUUGUCGGGUAAGUUCCGACCCGCACGAAAGGUGUAACGAUUUGGGCACUGUCUCAACCAGAGACUCGGUGAAAUUAUAGUACCUGUGAAGAUGCAGGUUACCCGCGACAGGACGGAAAGACCCCGUGGAGCUUUACUGUAGCCUGAUAUUGAAUUUUGGUACAGUUUGUACAGGAUAGGCGGGAGCCUUUGAAACCGGAGCGCUAGCUUCGGUGGAGGCGCUGGUGGGAUACCGCCCUGACUGUAUUGAAAUUCUAACCUACGGGUCUUAUCGACCCGGGAGACAGUGUCAGGUGGGCAGUUUGACUGGGGCGGUCGCCUCCUAAAGUGUAACGGAGGCGCCCAAAGGUUCCCUCAGAAUGGUUGGAAAUCAUUCGUAGAGUGCAAAGGCAUAAGGGAGCUUGACUGCGAGA